AGUGAAGAAGGCCUUCGGGUUGUAAAGCUCUUUCAGCCGGGAAGAAAGCGCACUCUCUAACAUAGGGGUGUGGAUGACGGUACCGGAAGAAGAAGCACCGGCUAACUACGUGCCAGCAGCCGCGGUAAUACGUAGGGUGCGAGCGUUAAUCGGAAUUACUGGGCGUAAAGGGUGCGCAGGCGGUUUUGUAAGACAGAUGUGAAAUCCCCGGGCUUAACCUGGGAACUGCGUUUGUGACUGCAAGGCUAGAGUACGGCAGAGGGGGUGGAAUUCCGCGUGUAGCAGUGAAAUGCGUAGAUAUGCGGAGGAACACCGAUGGCGAAGGCAACCCCCUGGGCCUGUACUGACGCUCAUGCACGAAAGCGUGGGGAGCAAACAGGAUUAGAUACCCUGGUAGUCCACGCCCUAAACGAUGUCAACUAGUCGUUCGGAGCAGCAAUGCACUGAGUGACGCAGCUAACGCGUGAAGUUGACCGCCUGGGGAGUACGGCCGCAAGGUUAAAACUCAAAGGAAUUGACGGGG
rnacentral:rRNA from 1 species